rnacentral:rRNA from 1 species
GACGAACGCUGGCGGCGUGCUUAUCACAUGCAAGUCGAACGAAGUGGCGAACGGGUGAGUAACGCGUAAUCAACCUGCCCUUCAGAGGGGGAUAACAGUUGGAAACGACUGCUAAUACUGCAUAUCGCAGGAGGGGAUUUCGUCUGAUUAGUUAGUAGGCGGUGGAACGGCCCACGAAGGCGAUGAUGAGUAGCCGGGCUGGGAGGAUGAACGGCCACAUUGGUACUGAGACACGGCCCAGACUCCUACGGGAGGCAGCAGUGGGGAAUCUUCCGCAAUGGACGAAAGUCUGACGGAGCAACGCGGCGGGAGUGAUGACGGCCUUCGGGUUGUAAAGCUCUGUUAAUCGGGACGCGGUACCGGAAUAGAAAGCCACGGCUAACUACGUGCCAGCAGCCGCGGUAAUAC